rnacentral:sRNA from 1 species
AAUCUCCCGUGUAAAUAACACACAUGUAUCGACACAUACGCCGGGGUGCCUUGAACAUUCGUGACGGGUCGGUUGUAUGGGAUACAUGGAGGCUUAAC